AAGGAAGAAGCCCUGGAAUUCUGCAGGAUGGGUGUUUAGGCAGCCCUGGGCACAAAUCAGCAUUUUUCUACAAACGAGUGCAGCCCCUCAAGCACCUGCAGAGAAAUAGAAACAGGAUCCAUAGCAGAGUUAUCUGGGGAGUUCCAUUCUGGGAAGACACAGCAGUGUCCCAGCCUGGCAGUCACUGGUGAGACCACAGGGGCAGUGAGGGGAAAGCCACAUCCAUGGACACAAAGGGGACCUUCCAUGCAGAGCAGCUCCUGGCCAUGGCUGAAAGGUCAGUGAGUGGGAGACAGGAGCAGAUGGACUCACAGCUCAGCUGGAAAAUGUUU
rnacentral:lncRNA from 1 species